GUUAAUAUAGUUUUAAUAAAAACAUUAGAAUGUGAACCUAAAAAUAGAGAUUAAACCCUCUUACUAACCG
rnacentral:tRNA from 1 species